AGUCAAUUUUUGAAGUAAACAAAGUUACGCGGAAUUUUUCUCUUUGGAUUAUCAAACUAAUAUCAGAUAAGUUGUUAAAUUCACUUUUAUCUAAUGCAUAUAUUUGUUUAUUAAUAUUAUUUUAUUUGUUUGUUUUAUUUGUUAUAUUUAUUAAUAAGUCAAUUUUAUUUUAGUUACUAUGUAUUCAACUGAGAAGGAUCUUUUGAAACAACACAUUCGAUAGAAAAUGGUUAAGAAGAUGUAGAUGCCCAUUCUAUUCCUAUCUUCAGAAGUUAAUUAUACCUAUGUAAUACCUUCGCUCAGGUUAAAGAAUGGAGUAUAAGUCUAGCAUCAAAUGGAUGUAAAAAAUAUAGCUACCAUUUUAAAUAUAGCUACCAUUUUACCUUAUGAUCAGAGCAACUGAUGUCCAUUCGAAUAUUGUGAUCAGGAGUUAGUUCUACCUUUACAGUACCUUUGCUCUUUAUACCUCUUUUCUAGUUAAGUUAAUACCAAGUUGGUAUAAAAAUUUAGUUUAAUAAAUAAAGAAUUUGUAAAUGUUGUUUGUCACAAUUUUUCUCACCAAAAGCGAGAUUAAUUAAAAAACUUUAUCUCAAAUUUGGUCAUGAAUUAUUUUAUUAGACUUGGUAAGUCUUUAUUUAUUAACAACCUAACACCAUAUUAUUAGAAAUGUAAUAAUAAAAUGCUCUAGUUUUUUAAAUGCUUUUAAAUGUUUCAAAAUCGAAAUCUGGUUUUAUUUUGUAAUGCAAUGAAUUUAUCAGCUAGGUGAACUUAUAUUCCAAAAUAAGAAAUUCUAGAUUUAAAAGCGUACAUCAACAGCUAAUUCUCUUUUUGUCGUCAUUUUUCAUAUUUUGGUGAAAAUUGCGGUUUGCUUUCUGACUUCAAUAUAGUCUGAUUUAGUAAACUUUUAACAAUUACGGUUUUUUUGUUUUUAUAAGUCAAACAAUAA